rnacentral:lncRNA from 1 species
ACUCUAUAUACAUCUGAUCAUCACAAGGUGUUUCAUUGUGCUUCUAUGUGUUUUAAAACAAAAACUUUUCUCUGGGGCAACUUCAUCAUCCCAUUCUAUCGUUGCAUAAUUGUAGUAAUUAUGUGAUGAUUUCAUGUAACUAUAAAAUACUUUAAUUUAUAGCCUGUGUAUUGGUUUCUUUACUUAUCAUUUUUGUGUGGGUGUAUACAUUGACUCGACUAUGAGCUUGUUAGAAGCGUUUGCAACCAUACUAUCUCGUUUGCUUAGUUAACUUAAUUACAACUGUAUUGCUUAGUGAUGUUGUUGUUGUUGCUAAAAGGACAAACAAAAGUAACUUUGUAUCAUCUUAUUGGAUAAACUUAUGAAAACCCUUUGACAAACAAAAGUUCUGUCACAAGGUCUUGUGUUAUCAUAUUUUUUUUAAAAAAAUUUAAUAUCAAAACAACAGCAAAUACAUAUGACUCUUGACUUUAAGCAUCUGCAGCAAAUAAAAGGUAUGUUCCAUCUGUGCUGACUCGAACUAGUUUAUAGGAGUUAAGACCCACAGGCUGAUAAACGCGUGUCAUUUCAUCUUUAGACGAGGUCAGUUGUCGUCGUUUUGAUAAAAGCCAUUUGCUCAUUCUCCCACUCUUAAGCCGACGCGAGCCGUAUUUAAGCUGUCUCCUACCACGGGUAUUUGUAAUCGUAUUCGAAUCUUUUUUUUCUUUCUAAUACAAUACAGUAUUAGUUUGUAAUUUAUCACUUUUGUUUCAUUUCUUUAUAAUCGCACUAGUGCUGAUUGUUUACAUUUUAUUAAUCGUAAAUGUAUUUUUCUUUUUGGAAAACAUUAGAAAAUUAAGGAAAUCAAUGACGAUGUAUCAAACGACCUAUUACCAGAGUUUCAUUAUAAUAUAAUUAGUUAUAUAUAUAUAUAUAUAUAGAAUUUUAAUUUAUCUUAAUCUACGCAUAAGAUUAUUCCUAGUGCAGUUUAUAUUGUUUAGAUGGUAUUGCGUUUGAGAAUUAGGGGAGUUCAAUUUAUUAGGAUUGAGUGGUAUUCAUGUCGAACUAUCGAAUAGUCUCUAAGUCAUAAACUAGUACUACACAUGUAUUAAUUUAAAAAUUUGCUGCAUUUAUUUGGCAAAAAAAAAGUUUGCUGUACUCUAAAAUAAAAUUAAAAUCUCUAUAUAUUCAAAGGAUCACAUCAGCUAAUUAAAUGUUUCCAAAUUUGAGUGUUAUAAAAUUUUCCAGAAAUAACGUUGAUAGCUGAGAGGGACCUUUGAAAAUCAUCACAUCUUAUAAUUAUAUGUUCACAAAUUAUUUUAUUAAACCCCAUUUGCGUGUUUAUGUAUAUUUAAUUAUUUAUAUACAAAUUGAAAAGCCUUUCAACAAAUCAUCAAUAAGGUUUAAACCUAAAUUAACAAUCUAUAGCGAAAUCAUUCCUCCUUAACCUAGAAUCUAAAUCCAGAAGACGAAUCGGCUAAUCAAACGACUAACGAAGAAACAAUCUGAGGAUUCGGGAAAAGAACUUUUACCUUCUCUGCGUCGCUUUCGCUUCUCUGAAUUCAAAUUAGUGCUCCGAUCUCGAAAAGGGAAGAUAAUGAAAGUAAUCUCACGUGUAGGGCUGUUGAUAUUUAAUUUAUAGGCAACGAUGUCAAAAGCAAGUUGACGAUCCUACGGUUGUUAUCGCUCAUCGGUGUGUUUCUCGUGUUUCUUAAUCGUACCGACUAAAAUACCACAAUAUGUGUUUUCUCUCAGCCAGUCAACGGUUCAGAUCUACCGUUUACACGUUUGACGAGGAUCGCCAAUCCUACGUGGUUGAUUCCUAUUGGUUGAAUACUAAACGUCACGGAUCGAUGACAUCAACCGUUCUAAUGUAGAAAUAUAAUGGGCUUAAAGAUAAGGCCCAUUAAUUACAGAAUCCUACGGGCACGUUACGUGCCGGUUUAGUUUAUUUUGCAUUAAAAACCAAUUUCGGAGUCGUCAUCUUCCUCUUCGCCCAGAUUCACUUCCUUCGAGAAGAUUCGCAUCAUUUUCCCAGGUAUAGAUUCUCUGACGAGAUCUGAUUCUAGUUUGUUGCUUAUUGUUCUUGUAGAUUCGAAUCCGGCGAUUAUCAAUUGCAUUUCGUGCUGGAUUCAAUUCGAAAGAUCCGAUCUAAUCGUUUUGGUUGGUGUUGAUUCAGUUAUGGAUUGGCAAGGACAGAAACUAGCGGAGCAGCUGAUGCAGAUCCUGCUCUUGAUCGCCGCCGUUGUGGCGUUCGUCGUUGGUUACACGACGGCGUCGUUUAGGACGAUGAUGUUGAUUUACGCGGGAGGGGUUGGUGUCACGACGUUGAUCACGGUGCCGAACUGGCCAUUCUUUAACCGUCAUCCACUCAAGUGGUUGGAACCAAGUGAAGCGGAGAAGCAUCCUAAACCGGAAGUCGUUGUUAGCUCGAAGAAGAAGUCAUCUAAAAAGUAGCAAAUCGUCUUUUGUAAUCUCUCUUUUUUUCUAGACCUUUGAUAUAAAAAAAAAGAACAUGUUCUGGAUUUUGCUUAUGAAUAAGAUAUAGUCUAAAUGACAUAAUAAUUUCGAUUGAUUCUGAGACAUCUUUGCUUAAUUGUUAUGUAAGAAGACAAUUUAAACGUUGUCUGUAAAGAACAGAACCGAGCCCAUGUCUUUUUAGUUUUUACUAAGUGUUCAAAUCAAUCACUAGAAAAAGAGCAAUGGUAGCAAGAGCUAGUAUAGACUCUACAAUCCGUGCCAUUACAAGAGAGCUAGAGGAGAGUGACGAGAAUGAAAAUGAGAAGAGCAGCGAUGAAAGAAUACUUGAGAGCAGCGACAAGGAUAGCAAAAGAGAUGAAGAAGAGCUGGGAUAAGACUUGAAGGCUAGCCCAUGUCAGUACUCCAGCUAAUCCAACGGCCGCAAAGUUAUCUUGAUCCGGCUUCAGUAGAUCCCCCAACCGGAAACUGAAACCAGGGAAUCCAUCUUUCUCGGGAGCAUCACCAUCAUCGUUACUAACCGGUCUGUUACCACCACCAGAAGACUCCUUAUUGCCACCGCCAUUUUGGGCAUACGUUCUGAGCUUUAACGGGGAUUUGCAGAAACUAACAUGAUGAUGGUGAUGAGGAAUGAUGUAUGAAUAACGAGGCUUUGGUGUGAUGGGCACAAAGGGCUUUAGUGUUAGCAGCAUCGCGGAUUGUGGAUUUAAAAUCAAAAUGAUCUUUGCUAUGAUAGUAGGAGCUGGUAAGUCUAUCUGCACUCGAGAAAAACAGAGGUCAAAUAGAAUCUAAGCAUAUCGAAAUGACUACUGGAACUCAAAAUCAAAGCGAAAUCCUAAUUCUCGCCAUGAUAUUUUAUAACUUGAAUCGAGCUAAAACCAAUACCCAGAUAUGAAUCAAUCUGCAUUCCAUCGGAUUAUCCAAAACAGAUCAUUCAUUCAUUCGAAAUCUCUACACCUCUAAGAGGUCAAGUCCGAUUGAAAAAGUUAUACGAAACCAAACACACCUGGAAUCCGCCAUGUUUCCUCCUCUCCACUCGCGAGAUAUGUAGUAGAACUAGAAGACAAAUCGAAAUCAACCGGUUGGUUUAAGAAAUUAGACUCAAUGGCUAAGAUUCAAUCUUACGGAGACACCAGCAAUAUUUAAACGGCUAGGAUCUUCUCCCUUGCUAUUUUAAUAUUUUGGUCUUUUUUAAGUUUCAAUCUUUUUUUUCUUUCUUCUCUAUAGCUCAAAUGUUGAGUAAACAUCAUGAUCAUAAAGAACAUGUAAAGAAACAAUGACACACUUUUAUUUAUGCAAUGCAGAGUUUUACCUCAGAUACACAAAACAAACCAUCCUGAGAAGAGAGAAGGAAAAGAGACUAGUAAAUUAUUACCUGGGUUCUAAUCUUUUACAAAGAACAACACAAAGCUAAAGAAUCAUCAAAACUAGAAAGAAAAAAAAUUCAAUCUCCAAAUUACACUUUCUUUAUACCCUAAAAAAAUACAGACUUUUUCUAUAAAAAAAAAGUGAACAUACAACCUAUUCCACCUACCAACCUCCCCGACCACAGAGAUGGAGAUAUAGAGUGAGAGAGAGGCUCAUAGGUUUCUCUAGUUUUUAUGUCUUGCUGAAGUGGAAAGAUUUGGCAACACCCAAGUGAUCAGCUAGCCGUUCUACUGUGGACUGCACCGUUUUAGACACCGGUGAGAGCGAAUCUGGGAGACUCGGGUGGCAUUGUGGUAAAUACGGGUCAUCAUCCUCUGUGCGGCUCAAGCAAGUGAGUACAGACCGGCAGAAUAUGAAUCUACACAACAACCAAGGUAAUAUUAGAGAAGCUGCCUUGUCUGGUUCUGAUUCCCAAAACUUUUAAAAAAUAAGACUCACCUGAGAAUCAGCCGUCUCAAGAACUGAUCAGGCAAGACCUGUGCCCAGACAAGAUUCAAGACUUUGGAAGUCAAGAGGAUCGUUUCCCACUCAGAGAAAGAAGCAGAUAGUAUGCUCUCUGCUUCAUCAUAAACCUCCUGAAGAUAUGUGAUCAAGAUGGUAAGAAGCAAUGCCACCACAUCAUGAUAACAUACGCUUUGCUUCAUUUAAGGUACUUACAGGUUCGGGAUCCGAGUUCGAGAGGCCCAGCAUUUGACAGAAUGCUUGUAAAGGAGCUGUCAAGAAAAAAGUAAACUGGCUUCCGUUUAGUGCUGCUGCUGUAUCAUCAGCAGAUGGGUUCUCCAGAGAUGGCUUCAGAGGCGAAAGAAGUAGAGCAACAGGCUCUCCUCUCUCUGCACCAUUCAAAACCUGAAGCUCACAAUCCGUUAGCCAAUAUCGCACAGUGACAAAGAACAACUAUAAGAAUCUCCUGAGAGAAUGAUAAGACUAAGUUAGGACAAACCUGCCUUGAAUGCUCGGCUAGUGUCGCUAUCAAUGACCAAGAAAAGCGGUUUCCGCGUAAAAGGGAUUAGAUCACCAGGGUAAAGGUUGUUUGAACCUGAAAAAAACAAAAAACAAGACAGUGAGUGAGAAAAGUCUGCUCAUUCAGUGCCCACUGGAGACAUAUAACAAUGUAAAUCCGAGGAAAACAACUUACCAGAGCCUCCUCUAGGACCUAACCAAAGAUAAUCAUCAUAAUAACCCCCAGAAGAUUUGUGUCCGUUGCUAAGAGGUUCUGACUUGUAACUCUUCUGCUCUUGGGAAGCUCGGCCAAGCAGCUUGCUUUUUGAUGUUCUGCUUGAACCGACAGCGUUCUCCGGUUGCGCAACAUUCUCACGAGCAGCAGGGCCACCUGGUUAAUCGUCACCAACAUGUUAACAUCAAGAAGUUCCAAGUGACAAAAAAAAAAAAAACUAACCUGAAGCAGAUAGAUAUAUCAGCAUCACACACUCUGGAGAGAGUUCAUCACAGAUCAUCGCCAAGACCUGAACAUAUAUAAAGGAAAAAAAAAAUCAGAAACUCCUAAAGAUUAUUUUCCUAUAUGAAACAGAUAAAAAAAAAAACCUCACCGCAAGCAAGUGGGACACUGUGGGACGAUAAAGAACAGCUUUCCUAGGAUUAGGAGGUAACGACGGAUCAGCCAUAUCAGCAGCCAAUUUCAUAUCUAUAAUCCCAGAGGUCAGCGUAUGAUCAACCACAAAACCAUUCUCUUUCGUCUCAACAGGCCGCUUCUGGUAAAAAGACCCACUAGGCUCCCACUCUAAACACUGCAUCAUUCUAUACGUAUCCAACGUCACUUCAGCGUAUUUCACCUAAAUGAUUACAAAGGCCACAGCGUAUGAAUCUUAGGUUCAAUAAAAACAAAACACUGCUUGUUUAAUGCUUACCUCGUUACGGUGAUAGCUAGCUAAUAGAGCAUCACGAAACUUGAAGAGCUUCUUAGCGUGGAACCUCGCUAGGUACGUGUGAGAAGCUGGAUAGGAAUCAAGCAUAGCGCAGUAACGAAGCGGCCUGACAUAAGUUAAGUCCACGUCAGCUUUAGUAAACCGAGUGAUCUCUUGCACAACUAUCCUCCACUCCUUAAAGUUGGUCUCCUGCACCAAAAGAUCAAAACUUUAUUCAACCAGAGGCUCAAUUCUCAAAAGCCUCAAAUCAAAAAGAUUAAAUCUUUUACCCUAAAAUUAGACUUGCUGUCAUCAACCAAAGCCCUAAGCUUCUCAGCCAAGUGCAAAACCAUCUCCCUCCGAUCAACAAUCAACGCAACGAGCAAGAACCUCGCGUAGAACCUCAGCUCCUUGGACCUCGCGCUGAGAUCCUUCCUCUCCUCCCCUUCCUCGAAGUACCUCCGCUUGAGAAUGGCCUCGUAGAAGACGUAGGACUCGAGGAGGAAGCGAGCCUCGCUGGUCCUCAUGUACUGGCUGAAGUAGAGCUGCCCAAUCCGGCUCGCGAUCUCGCCGAUCUCCCACCGGUUCAGCCCCGACGCGACGAGCUUGGGCCGGUGGGACUGCUGGUAAUUCCAGAGCUUCAUGUAGGCCUUGAAGACCUUGUGGAAGUAGUGGCUCUGCGCUCGCCCGAAGGCCGGGAGAUCGCGGACUCUCGCGAACUUGCGGUCCGCGUUCUCCACCAGGGCUCGGAAAUUGCGCGACACGUCUUCCUCCGCCAUUUUGCGACUGUUUUGUUGCCCCUUUUAGUUGCGGUGAGAGUCGCCGUCGUUUACCAUCGGCGGAGAGAAAGAGAGAGAGAAAGGGAAAGACUUUAAUGAGAUUGGCGGUGGAGAGAGAGAGAGAGAGAGAGAACAGAUGAGAAGAGUAAAUAUGGUUUUCCUUUUCUUUUUUAAUAUUGCUUCAAUUUAUCUUCCUUAUUUUUCCAUUUUUAUUUUAUUUCCUCCUUUUAGGUCUUCACCUUUACAAAAGCAGUUGAAAAAACAGUAGAAUCCUUGGGAUUAAUAGUAAUCUUUCAUUUCAUAAUUAUUGUUAGUUCAAAACCUGUGAAUUUUGAGAGAAAAAAACAAUAAUAAAUCUGAGGUAUACUCCAAAUGUUCGAUGUUUUAGCUUCUUUCUCGUAUAUAAAUAUAUGAUUUUUUUUUUAUUAAUGUAUUAGUUUUAAAAUAAAAUAUGAAGCAAAAUGUAAGUGGUUAAAUUUUAUUGACAAUAGAAAAAAAAAUUAAACUAACUAAAAAGUCCAUAGUAGACAAAAAUAUUUUUUUUUUAUUUGUAUGAAUUACCUUAAAAAGUUAUACAUUUUUAUUCGGAGAUAGUAUCAUUUAAGAAAAAAUUAUAUGUUUAAGAUAAUUAUUAAAAUAUUAUUUUUAUGUAGAAAUACUAUGAUUAGCUAUCACGAUACUAUUUUCAUUCAGAAUUUUAUUACAUCAAGGUUUAGUUUAGCAAAUGCGUGACAUUGAAAUUUAAAACUACCAUUAUUCAUCCUUUUUCAUUUCAGUACCAAAACAUUUAAUAAUGUUAUUAGCUGGAUUAUUGCAGAUAGGAGUAUGCAUCGCUAUGAGCAAAAACGCAUGUGCGCACGAACCCACAAAAGAAUUUGCAGAAUCAUAAAAUCCCGUGUGUUGUGUAAUCAUGGUAAGCAGGAAGAGCUGGCAUCAACGCAAAAUAUGUACUCGAUGAUGAUACUCGCAGUCCAUACAGUGUCAUGGUAUAGUUUAAGCAAAUGUCCUUAACGUACGUACCUACUUGGUUAGAGAAGAUAAUAUUUUCUUAUUCAGUCUCCACAAUUAACUAACUGACCCAUAUACUAAUCGUGGCAACAUGGCAAAUUAUAUGAUCUUUUUUAGUUAGUUUUCUUCAGUAAUACGUUCUUAAAUUAAAUGAUGGUAGCAACACGCAACUUGCACAUGAUAUGGCUAUAUAUCAUUUUAUCAUAUGCCGACGCACGGCAUGGCGAGAAGCCUUUUUUAUAUUUCCCCUAACUACGAGUAAUUAUAUGCGGAUGUAUUUGUCAAACUCAUGAAAGAUGAUUCGGUGAAUCAGUGGCAAACAUCUAUAACAAUACCAACUCGAUUGCUAAGAGGAACCCUAGGGGAAAGUGUUAUUAGUUAGAAUAUGCAUAACAAAGGCGUUGACUUUUUAAUAUUGGUCACUAGUUUUUUUUUACUUUCCGGGUGUUGUUCCAAAUUCAGCUAAUGGUGUAAUCAUCACAUAUACUGAAAUUUAUUUAUAAAGGUGGACCGACGUGACCUGUCGUGAUGCUGAUUCUCAUUUUUUGGGGUAUUGUUGAGAACAUUAUAAAUUUAAGAAGAUAAGAAAUCGAUUUUUUCAAGGGUUGAGUUUGAUUUAAUAUCAUUGCAUAAAUGAAUAAAAACUGCUUAAGAUUCAUCUUUGGGUUCUAAUUAUGUGGUUAUCUAAUAUAAAGAGAAUCUUUAGAUGGUUGACAAAAAAAGAGAGUUCGUAGAAAAUGAGAGUACAGUAUGUAUAUUUUAUACUAAAACGAGUAUACACAAAUAUGUCAUAUAAACAUUUUGUCUCUACACCUGCAAAUUACAAUAUCAGUGGGGCAUGUUUCCAUUAACUUUUUGUAGUAGUGGUUAGAUGUUAGUUGUCUGAACUCUAUUUAUUUAUUUUUAAAUUUUGAAUAUUCAUAUUUCAAUUUGGUCCUACUUUGUUUGACAUAAAUUAGGAAAUCUAAACUAAUUUUAUUUGCUUGGCGGACCAAAUGGUACGUCGCCUUUGUUAAAAGCUUUAUUAGGUGGGAAACUUUAUUUGCUAAUUAUAAAAUGUACCUCUAUAUUGGACAAGUUUUAGUUAAUUGCUUCGUAUGUACAUCCUCUUAUCACAUGAAUACAUUCCAUUAGACUAAAAAACAAACAAAAACUCCAAGCUAAUAAAUCAUUAAAAAUAGUAAUAAUUUUAAAAUCCUCACCCAGCGCUAUAUAAUUAUUUGUCUUAUAUAUAACACUCCACAUUCCACAUCAUAAUAUAACAGUGAGAAGAUAUGUUAUCGAGUUUCAUGUAUAUUUAAAUAUUUUGUUGUUUAGCUUGAUGGACUGGUCGUAGGUGGCUAUAUACCAAGUUAUUCGACAGCCGUGAUAAAGUGUUUAUAAAGAAGGUAAAGAUAGAGAAGAAGGAAAAACAUAAAGAACAAAAGAACAUAUUUGUGAAGUCAAUACCAAGAACAUACUAGUGUCAAAGUAAAAAAAGAAGGCAGAAGAAAGAAGUAAAGAUUGUUAUAAUAAUUAUGUCAACAUACUGUUAGUUGGCACAAAGUGGAUUUAAAAGCUUUUGCACCACCAGAUCAAAAGAAGGUGCGCAGUGAUAACGAGGAAAGAAAGAAAAAAAAGAAUGAAAGUUCAGCUAGCACUAAAGUAAACCUUGGAUACCUAUUAGGCUUUUGUAUAAAUAAUAGAUUAAAAUUGUAUUAAAACUAUACUAUAUGAAAAAAACGGUGCUUAUCAGUUAUCACAUCACACAUCCUUUUGCUUCUAUUGAUUUAGUUUGGGCUAACUAGCCCAAUAAGUACUCUAUUCCAUGUUUAUUGGGUUUCUAAUCAAAUAGAAUAGCAGAAAGUUGAUAUAUGAAAAAGGCAAUUGUAGAGUUGCUUCUCUUCUUUUAUAUGUAAACCCUAAUUUGCAAAUAGUAAAUUUUCUCAAAAAAACGUUAACAAGAAGUGGUGACAAUGUCCGAAUCCUUCUCUGAAGAACCACCGCGUAAUAAGAAGAAGAAGCCAUCCAUGUCUCCGUCGUUUUCCUUAUCGUCGCUGCCAGAUGAGGUGGCUUUGAGCUGCAUGGCUCUACUCUCGAGAUCGGACCAUGCAUCCUUAUCUCGCGUCUCCAAGAGAUACCGCUCUCUCGUGGCUUCCCCUGAGCUCUACAAGAUUCGCUCGCAGCUAGGUUACAGCUGCUUCUACGUAUGCUUGAGCAUCCACGGUCCUUACUCAACCCCACGUUGGUUCAUCAUCAGCCGUGAAAAAACCGUGAACAGGCUCAUGACCCCUAUCCCUCCUUGCCCUUCUUCUCACCCUUUGAAAGGAUUCUCCGUGGUGUCGCUUGACUGUGGCAUAUAUGUAAUCGGUGGGUCCAUAACGAGAAAGAGAGAGUACUUCCGUUCUUCGGACCCCCCUUCUUCUAGUGUGUUGCUCUUGGAUUGUCGGACUCACACGUGGCGUCAAGUCCCUUCCAUGAAAGUGGCUCGAUGUGAGGCGGCUGCUGGAGUCGUUGAUGGGAAGAUAUACGUGUUUGGAGGCUGCGGCCAUAAUGAGACCUAUGGAGAGGUAUUUGACCCAAAGACUCAAACGUGGACUACUUUGCCGCCAGUGCCGGAUAGUGUAAAAGAGUAUGUCCCAUUCAAAAAGACCAUGGUGAUGGGUGAGAAGAUUUACCCAGUGCCUUUCUGGAAUUCACCAAACCUAUUAUACUACUCUCCCAACGAAGGUAUAUGGGGAAGAAGGAUGAAGGAUGUUGAUGUUUCGAAGAUAGGAACCAAAAGUUAUUGUUUUAGUAUGGCAGAGAAUGUAUUAUACAGUUGUGAUGACUACGGGAAUAUGUUUUGGAGUGAGCCAGAGGAUUCGGAUUGGAAUAAAGUCGAGGGUUUAGGGGCUCUACAUAAUCAUUUUUACAAACCGCUGGCUAGCUUUAUUUGGGAUACGUCACCGUGUGAUGAGUUGUUGAGAACUUUCGGUACCAACAUUUUGAUCUUUUGGUUCAAGUAUAACCCUAAGAAUACGAAAGUGGAUAUCUGGUGUGCCGAGAUUUCCUUUGAAAGACUCCAUGACAAAGGUGAGAUUAUCGGUAAGAUUGAGUGGUUGCAAUCUGUUGCUGGAGUUAAAGGCCAUUCCUCGAGUCACCUUGAGGUUUUACAUUCUGCUUAUGUCAAUGUUUAGACUCUAUAUACAUCUGAUCAUCACAAGGUGUUUCAUUGUGCUUCUAUGUGUUUUAAAACAAAAACUUUUCUCUGGGGCAACUUCAUCAUCCCAUUCUAUCGUUGCAUAAUUGUAGUAAUUAUGUGAUGAUUUCAUGUAACUAUAAAAUACUUUAAUUUAUAGCCUGUGUAUUGGUUUCUUUACUUAUCAUUUUUGUGUGGGUGUAUACAUUGACUCGACUAUGAGCUUGUUAGAAGCGUUUGCAACCAUACUAUCUCGUUUGCUUAGUUAACUUAAUUACAACUGUAUUGCUUAGUGAUGUUGUUGUUGUUGCUAAAAGGACAAACAAAAGUAACUUUGUAUCAUCUUAUUGGAUAAACUUAUGAAAACCCUUUGACAAACAAAAGUUCUGUCACAAGGUCUUGUGUUAUCAUAUUUUUUUUAAAAAAAUUUAAUAUCAAAACAACAGCAAAUACAUAUGACUCUUGACUUUAAGCAUCUGCAGCAAAUAAAAGGUAUGUUCCAUCUGUGCUGACUCGAACUAGUUUAUAGGAGUUAAGACCCACAGGCUGAUAAACGCGUGUCAUUUCAUCUUUAGACGAGGUCAGUUGUCGUCGUUUUGAUAAAAGCCAUUUGCUCAUUCUCCCACUCUUAAGCCGACGCGAGCCGUAUUUAAGCUGUCUCCUACCACGGGUAUUUGUAAUCGUAUUCGAAUCUUUUUUUUCUUUCUAAUACAAUACAGUAUUAGUUUGUAAUUUAUCACUUUUGUUUCAUUUCUUUAUAAUCGCACUAGUGCUGAUUGUUUACAUUUUAUUAAUCGUAAAUGUAUUUUUCUUUUUGGAAAACAUUAGAAAAUUAAGGAAAUCAAUGACGAUGUAUCAAACGACCUAUUACCAGAGUUUCAUUAUAAUAUAAUUAGUUAUAUAUAUAUAUAUAUAUAGAAUUUUAAUUUAUCUUAAUCUACGCAUAAGAUUAUUCCUAGUGCAGUUUAUAUUGUUUAGAUGGUAUUGCGUUUGAGAAUUAGGGGAGUUCAAUUUAUUAGGAUUGAGUGGUAUUCAUGUCGAACUAUCGAAUAGUCUCUAAGUCAUAAACUAGUACUACACAUGUAUUAAUUUAAAAAUUUGCUGCAUUUAUUUGGCAAAAAAAAAGUUUGCUGUACUCUAAAAUAAAAUUAAAAUCUCUAUAUAUUCAAAGGAUCACAUCAGCUAAUUAAAUGUUUCCAAAUUUGAGUGUUAUAAAAUUUUCCAGAAAUAACGUUGAUAGCUGAGAGGGACCUUUGAAAAUCAUCACAUCUUAUAAUUAUAUGUUCACAAAUUAUUUUAUUAAACCCCAUUUGCGUGUUUAUGUAUAUUUAAUUAUUUAUAUACAAAUUGAAAAGCCUUUCA